AAACUGCUUUUAUCUGUGAAGAUUUUGACGGUAGCAGAUGAAUAAGGAUCGGCUAACUCCGUGCCAGCAGCCGCGGUCAUACGGAGGAUCCAAGCGUUAUCCGGAAUUACUGGGCGUAAAGAGUUGCGUAGGUGGCAAAGUAAGCAGGGCAUGAAAUUGUGUGGCUCAACCAUACACCCAUGUUCUGAACUGCUUAGCUUGAGCAUGAGAGAGGUAGAUGGAAUUCCCAGUGUAGGAGUGAAAUCCGUAGAUAUUGGGAGGAACACCGAUGGCGUAGGCAGUCUACUGGCUCAUUGCUGACACUAAGGCACGAAAGCGUGGGGAGCGACCGGGAUUAGAUACCCCGUUAGUCCACGCCGUAAACGAUGGAUGCUAGCUGUUAUUCGUAUCGACCCGAGUAGUAGCGAAGCUAACGCGUUAAGCAUCCCGCCUGUGGAGUACGAGCGCAAGCUUAAAACAUAAAGGAAUUGACGGGGACCCGCACAAGCGGUGGAGCGUGUUGUUUAAUUCGAUGAUAAGCGAAGAACCUUACCCAGGCUUGACAUCCUGCUAAUUUCUCCGAAAGGAGAGAGUGCCUUCGGGCCGCAGUGACAGGUGUUGCAUGGCCGUCGUCAGCUCGU
rnacentral:rRNA from 1 species